UUAAGCGACCAAGCGUACACGGUGGAUGCCCUGGCAGUCAGAGGCGAUGAAGGACGUGCUAAUCUGCGAAAAGCGCCGGUAAGGUGAUAUGAACCGUUAUAGCCGGCGAUGUCCGAAUGGGGAAACCCAGUGUGAUUCGUCACACUAUCAUUAACUGAAUCCAUAGGUUAAUGAGGCGAACCGGGGGAACUGAAACAUCUAAGUACCCCGAGGAAAAGAAAUCAACCGAGAUUCCCCCAGUAGCGGCGAGCGAACGGGGAGGAGCCCAGAGCCUGAAUCAGCAUGUGUGUUAGUGGAAGCGUCUGGAAAGGCGCGCGAUACAGGGUGACAGCCCCGUACACAAAAGCGCAUGUGCUGUGAGCUCGAUGAGUAGGGCGGGACACGUGGUAUCCUGUCUGAAUAUGGGGGGACCAUCCUCCAAGGCUAAAUACUCCUGACUGACCGAUAGUGAACCAGUACCGUGAGGGAAAGGCGAAAAGAACCCCGGCGAGGGGAGUGAAACAGAACCUGAAACCGUGUACGUACAAGCAGUGGGAGCACAGGUUUACCUGUGUGACUGCGUACCUUUUGUAUAAUGGGUCAGCGACUUAUAUUCUGUAGCAAGGUUAACCGCAUAGGGGAGCCGAAGGGAAACCGAGUCUUAAUUGGGCGUUAAGUUGCAGGGUAUAGACCCGAAACCCGGUGAUCUAGCCAUGGGCAGGUUGAAGGUUGGGUAACACUAACUGGAGGACCGAACCGACUAAUGUUGAAAAAUUAGCGGAUGACCUGUGGCUGGGGGUGAAAGGCCAAUCAAACCGGGAGAUAGCUGGUUCUCCCCGAAAGCUAUUUAGGUAGCGCCUCGUGAAUUCAUCUCCGGGGGUAGAGCACUGUUUCGGCCAGGGGGCCAUCCCGGCUUACCAAUCCGAUGCAAACUGCGAAUACCGGAGAAUGUUAUCACGGGAGACACACGGCGGGUGCUAACGUCCGUCGUGAAGAGGGAAACAACCCAGACCGCCAGCUAAGGUCCCAAAGUCAUGGUUAAGUGGGAAACGAUGUGGGAAGGCCCAGACAGCCAGGAUGUUGGCUUAGAAGCAGCCAUCAUUUAAAGAAAGCGUAAUAGCUCACUGGUCGAGUCGGCCUGCGCGGAAGAUGUAACGGGGCUAAACCAUGCACCGAAGCUGCGGCAGCGACACUGAUGUGUUGUUGGGUAGGGGAGCGUUCUGUAAGCCGUUGAAGGUGUGUCGUGAGGCAUGCUGGAGGUAUCAGAAGUGCGAAUGCUGACAUAAGUAACGAUAAAGCGGGUGAAAAGCCCGCUCGCCGGAAGACCAAGGGUUCCUGUCCAACGUUAAUCGGGGCAGGGUGAGUCGACCCCUAAGGCGAGGCCGAAAGGCGUAGUCGAUGGGAAACGGGUUAAUAUUCCCGUACUUGGUGUUACUGCGAAGGGGGGACGGAGAAGGCUAUGUUGGCCGGGCGACGGUUGUCCCGGUUUAAGCGUGUAGGUGUGUGUUCCAGGUAAAUCCGGUUCACUUUAACACUGAGGCGUGACGACGAGGCACUACGGUGCUGAAGCAACAAAUGCCCUGCUUCCAGGAAAAGCCUCUAAGCCUCAGGUAACAUCAAAUCGUACCCCAAACCGACACAGGUGGUCAGGUAGAGAAUACCAAGGCGCUUGAGAGAACUCGGGUGAAGGAACUAGGCAAAAUGGUGCCGUAACUUCGGGAGAAGGCACGCUGACACGUAGGUGAAGUGGUUUACCCAUGGAGCUGAAGUCAGUCGAAGAUACCAGCUGGCUGCAACUGUUUAUUAAAAACACAGCACUGUGCAAACACGAAAGUGGACGUAUACGGUGUGACGCCUGCCCGGUGCCGGAAGGUUAAUUGAUGGGGUCAGCGCAAGCGAAGCUCCUGAUCGAAGCCCCGGUAAACGGCGGCCGUAACUAUAACGGUCCUAAGGUAGCGAAAUUCCUUGUCGGGUAAGUUCCGACCUGCACGAAUGGCGUAAUGAUGGCCAGGCUGUCUCCACCCGGGACUCAGUGAAAUUGAACUCGCUGUGAAGAUGCAGUGUACCCGCGGCAAGACGGAAAGACCCCGUGAACCUUUACUAUAGCUUGACACUGAACACUGGUCCUUGAUGUGCAGGAUAGGUGGGAGGCUUUGAAGUGUGGACGCCAGUCUGCAUGGAGCCAUCCUUGAAAUACCACCCUUUAAUGGCUGGUGUUCUAACGUGGGCCCGUGAACCGGGUUGCGGACAGUGUCUGGUGGGUAGUUUGACUGGGGCGGUCUCCUCCUAAAGAGUAACGGAGGAGCACGAAGGUUGGCUAAUCCUGGUCGGACAUCAGGAGGUUAGUGCAAUGGCAUAAGCCAGCUUGACUGCGAGCGUGACGGCGCGAGCAGGUGCGAAAGCAGGUCAUAGUGAUCCGGUGGUUCUGAAUGGAAGGGCCAUCGCUCAACGGAUAAAAGGUACUCCGGGGAUAACAGGCUGAUACCGCCCAAGAGUUCAUAUCGACGGCGGUGUUUGGCACCUCGAUGUCGGCUCAUCACAUCCUGGGGCUGAAGUAGGUCCCAAGGGUAUGGCUGUUCGCCAUUUAAAGUGGUACGCGAGCUGGGUUUAGAACGUCGUGAGACAGUUCGGUCCCUAUCUGCCGUGGGCGCUGGAAGAUUGAGGGGGGCUGCUCCUAGUACGAGAGGACCGGAGUGGACGCAUCACUGGUGUUCGGGUUGUCAUGCCAAUGGCACUGCCCGGUAGCUACAUGCGGAAGAGAUAAGUGCUGAAAGCAUCUAAGCACGAAACUUGCCCCGAGAUGAAUCUUCCCUGAGCCUUUAAGGCUCCUGAAGGAACGUUGAAGACGACGACGUUGAUAGGCCGGGUGUGUAAGCGCAGCGAUGCGUUGAGCUAACCGGUACUAAUGAACCGUGAGGCUUAACCUU
rnacentral:rRNA from 1 species